UGAUUGUGGAGACACUUGCCCACUGUAAUGCAGGAUUGGAUAGAAAGCCUUAAUAUAAGGUAUAAACAAUGUGCCCUAUGGAGGAGGUGUUCUGAAGCAGGCCUUCCUUGCCUGCUGCCCUGAACUGAGGUAUUACUGAAGUAUUACUGCUUUCUGAGUCACUUCAGUCUUUCCUCUCCCUUCAGACCCCAAGACUGGACAUGCAGGAACUUCAGUUUUCAGCUUCCGUCUUUCUCGUGAGGGUUUCUGCAGUGAGUUCUGUCUGGUUUCUCAUUACCCAGAGCCCUGAGCUGGACAACAAACAGGAAACUCAAAUGUCA
rnacentral:lncRNA from 1 species